rnacentral:rRNA from 1 species
ACGAGAAGACCCUAUAAAUCUUUAUAUUUAGAUUAUUAUAAUUUUAGAGAUUUUUUUUGUUAUAAUAAUCAAUGAUAUUUUAUUGGGGUGAUAUUAAAAUUUAAUAAACUUUUAAUUGUUAAAAUCAUUAAUUUAUGAAUAAUUGAUCCGUUAUUAGCGAUUAAAAAAAUAAGUUACUUUAGGGAUAACAGCGUAAUUUUUUUGGAGAGUUCAUAUCGAAAAAAAGAUUGCGACCUCGAUGUUGGAUUAA